CCCCGAAAAUGAUGGUUUAACCCCUUCCUUUGUUA
rnacentral:tRNA from 1 species